GCUGUUGCUUGGGUCGCUUCUGUGGCAUAUGGAGGAUAAAAACCCACGUCUUAGUCCUUAAAUUCUGCAAUACAUCAAGUCCUUUUUAGUACUUGAUGAGAUCCUAAGUGGACUAAAACCAACUUUUCUCUGGAAGUGAGUUUCAUUUUUAAUCUUUCUUAAUAAUAGAAACUCUCUGCAUCAAAAAAGCCUAGGUUUAUAAAAAAUUACUAUGUCUUCGUGUGACCUAUUUGUACCAUUUUAGUAAAGGGUUACAUGAAUAUAUUGACUCAAAUAGAACAUAAUUAGGGGCUAUUAUACCACAGGGAAAUAUUUAAUUUUAAAACUGUCAAAGUAAAAUCCUUUCUAUAUCUAUUACAAAGAAUACAAAAUUCUGAUACAUAUCCAAAAUGCUUGAUUUUUUUUAGAUUAAUAUAUAUAAGCCUCUUUAACGUACCUUGACUCCCACAGAGAGUUGGUAGGGAUGGAUAGUUUUAACUUGUAUGUUGUGUCAAACACAACUUGAGAUGCAACUGCAGAGCUUGAAAAAGUAGACCUGAUUGUGAAUGUUCUUCUGCCCGCAAGCCCCUCUCAUAUCAUCCAUCUUAGUCCUCUCUGGUCAGACUUUGGUGUCCUUACAGUCGCAAAGAUGAUAAUUUGCACUGCUUCAUUGCUUCUAGCAAAAGGAGGAAUAAUGUCUAAAUCACAAAGAAGAAUAAGGACUGACACUUCUCCACUACAAUGUCUCCAAGAAAAAAACACAAAAGUUACAGGAAGAAUUCUUACUCAGGUAUUAGGAUGAAGAUCAACUUUUCUGAGAUUUAUAAAUAAGGUGAAUAGCCCAGGUAUAGGGAUUGAAGAGAAUUGCCUGGGAGAUAGCUUUUGACAACACUAACUUCUCCACGUAAACUGUUAAACAUUUCCAUUACCCCUAUCCUUAGGAAAAUUCAUUUACCCCCCCCCCCAACAAUUAUCUUCAUUUUGUAAUGCUAAUGCCUCAUUGUUCACUUCAUAUAAAAACAAAAACUGUCCAUACCUUUGAAAUAGUUGAAGGCACCCUAUCGGAUUAAAGAACAUCCACAUUUUAAACUCAAUCUCCCUUUUAAAAAGUCUAAUCUGAGUAAGUACUAACCCCAGGAUACAAAAAUAAUUUGACAACUGAGUUAUUCUCCAAGAAAAGAUAUGAAUAUUUAUUUGACUUUUUUUAUUUAAAAUGGAUAAACAAACAAACAUAUCUCCUCAGCUGAAAGCCAUCCAAACAUAAUUUCAAAACUCUCCAAAUUAUAAAGGGAAAAAAGAGUCAAGGGAAUGAAUUUUUAAACUUAGUUCCAGAACAUAUUAGGAAUUAAAAAAAAAUUAGAACUGGGUCUUAUUCAGUUAAAUAAGUUAUUCAUAUUUAAAUCCAUGAUGUGAAAAACAAAUGAAUUUAUUUGUCAAUAAGAAUGCUAAGAAUGCAAUUUUGAAGGAAAAACAUGAAAAGAAGCAAGUCUGUCUUGAUUUUUUUUAAUUCCAUGUUUAAUAAACUGCUUUGAAAGUAAAUUUUCUGGAGUUCCCAUCAUGGUGCAGCAGAAACAAAUCCAACUAGGAACCAUGAGGUUGCGGGUUUGAUCCCUGGCCUCACUCAGUGGGUUAAGGAUUCAGCAUUGCCAUGAGCUAUGGUGUAGAUUGCAGAUGCAGCUUGGAUCUGGCGCUGCUGUGGCUCUGGCGUAGGCUGGCGGCUAUAGCUCCAAUUAGACCCCUAGCCUGGGAACCUCCAUAUGCUGCUGGUGUGGCCCUAAAAGGACAAAAGACAAAAAAAAAAAAAAAAAGAAAGUAAAUUUUCUUUGUUCUUUUAUUCCAUCUUCCAUGAAAUAAGGACUAUAAAACCAUUGAUAAAGUGACUAGAAAUGCUUUCCUUGACCAAAGUGAAAGAAUAUACCCUUACAUUAAUGCCACAGGUACAGCACCACCAAACAUUCCAUUUUACUCCUUUUACUUUUCCUGACCUUAAUAUCUCAGUAGGAAACCCAACUGGGCUGAGUUAGUAUUCUGGGAAUAGCUGGGUUGAUUCUUUUUUAGGCUGUGGGCUCUGUGGCAGGUUAUAAUCCUACUUGACAAAGACAAAGAUCUCAUCAUGGUUUAAACAACAUGAAACAUCAGAGAGAAAAAAAGUAAUUGUUACAUCACUGAGGUUCACAGAGUACACCUAGUGCAAACCAUGGGAUAAAAUUGCUGAGGUCAACCCUCAUCUCAAAUAGUUAUAGUAGGGUUACUUUGUAGGUCUCUACAAAUAGCUGAGACUAUGAGACUAUCUUGGAAUGCCUUGACAGCAGCUAACCUUAAAAAUGCUAAAUAAACUUAGAGGUUUUGUUUGUUUGUUUGUCUACUGCAUAGACAAAUGGUUAAGAGCACAGAUUAAGGAGCCAGACCACAUGACUCUGUAAUUUACCAGGUUAUAUUCUUUGGUCUUACUUAACAUUCCUGUGCCCUUAGUGUCCCUGUCUAUAAAAUAGGAAAAAUGAGAUAAAAUAUGAUAACAGGAUAAAUUCAGUGACUGUGAAGCACUAAAAAUAGUACUUGACCAUUAUUAUUACAUAUAUUAGCUAUUACUAUAAAUUAUUCUGUUGGCUGAUGAUAGUUUAAAAAUCACACUAAAAACCAAAAAAGAGUAUUCAUACUCAACUUAAAGAGAGAACGUUCAGAUAUCAAAUGAGGCCUCCCAACAAGAGUAACACAUAAGUUUGUUUUAGUGCUCUCCCUAGGUGUCAUGAGACCAAUAAGAGUAGAAGGUUUUGACCAGAGAGUGUAAGAUUAUGUUUAAGAACUGGCAGUUUUGGAGUUCCUGUCAUGACGCAGCAGAAACGAAUCUGACUAGGAACCAUGAGGUUGCAGGUUUGAUC
ensembl:lncRNA